rnacentral:rRNA from 1 species
GAUGAACGCUGGCGGCGUGCCUAAUACAUGCAAGUCGAGCGAACGGACGAGAAGCUUGCUUCUCUGAUGUUAGCGGCGGACGGGUAAGUAACACGUGGAUAACCUACCUAUAAGACUGGGAUAACUUCGGGAAACCGGAGCUAAUACCGGAUAAUAUUUUGAACCGCAUGGUUCAAAAGUGAAAGACGGUCUUGCUGUCACUUAUAGAUGGAUACGGGCUGCAUUAGCUAGUUGGUAAGGUAACGGGUUACCAAGGCAACGAUGCAUAGCCGACCUGAGAGGGUGAUCGGCCACACUGGAACUGAGACACGGUCCAGACUCCUACAGUAGGCAGCAGUAGGGAAUCCUACGCAAUGGACGAAAGCCUAACGUAGCAACGCCGCGUGAGUCAUGAAGGUCUUCUGAUCGUAAAACUCUGUUAUUAUUGAAGAACAAAUAUUUAUUUAACUGUGCACAUCUUGACGGUACCCAAACAGAAAGCCACGGCUAACUACGUG